rnacentral:rRNA from 1 species
UCGACGAAGUCUUCGGACUUAGUGGCGGACGGGUGAGUAACGCGUGAGAAUCUGCCUUCAGGUGGGGGAUAACAGUUGGAAACGACUGCUAAUACCGCAUAUGUCGAGAGAUGAAAGAUUUAUUGCCUGAAGAUGAGCUCGCGUCCGAUUAGCUAGUUGGUGAGGUAAUGGCUCACCAAGGCAACGAUCGGUAGCUGGUUUGAGAGGACAACCAGCCACACUGGGACUGUGACACGGCCCAGACUCCUACGGGAGGCAGCAGUGGGGAAUUUUCCGCAAUGGGCGCAAGCCUGACGGAGCAAUACCGCGUGGGGGAUGAAGGUCUGUGGAUUGUAAACCCCUUUUCUCUAGGAAGAAGUUCUGACGGUACUAGAGGAAUCAGCAUCGGCUAACUCCGUGCCAGCAGCCGCGGUAAGACGGAGGAUGCAAGCGUUAUCCGGAAUUAUUGGGCGUAAAGGGUCCGCAGGUGGUCUUUCAAGUCUGCUUUCAAAGAGUGGAGCUCAACUCCAUAAAGGGAGUGGAAACUGAUUGACUAGAGUAAGGAAGGGGUAAGAGGAAUUCCCAGUGUAGCGGUGAAAUGCGUAGAUAUUGGGAAGAACACCAGCAGCGAAGGCGUCUUACUGGUCCUUAACUGACACUGAGGGACGAAAGCUAGGGGAGCGAAAGGGAUUAGAUACCCCUGUAGUCCUAGCUGUAAACGAUGAAC